GGGGGGAUGAGGAUGGAAGGGUGGACUGAAAUCACAACGAAGCUUUGGAUUAUUCCUAUCAUAGGUUUCAUAAACGCUCAGCUCUUCCUGAUCCUCCGUGGCUAGAGAAAGUCAUACUGUAUGCUUUAUGUGCAUGAGAGACAUUUAUGUAUUUACAGUGCACACGCUUCAAUGGCUACUCCUGUGUUGAGGACAUCUGGCUCCAAGGUUGACAUAUUUUCUCCUCUACCUCUCUGUCUCUAACAACAACCUUAUCAUCCUCCAUUACACACCUGGAUUGUAUUACAUAUUAGUUCUCUUAACAGAGAUAGGUGUAAAACAAGGAUGAUGGGGAUGGGUCUGUGACGGAUAUCAUCGUGAGAAAGAGAGAAAUAGAGGGAGCGAGAGAAUGUGAGAGAGAAAGGGGGGGAGAGGGGGGAUAGAGAGAGACAGGGGAUAGAGAGAGACCGGGGUAGAGAGAGACAGGGGAUAGAGAGAGACCGGGGUAGAGAGAGACAGAGUGUAGAGAGAGACAGGGGCAGAGAGAGACAGCCAGGGAGAGAGAGAGACAGACAGGGACAGAGAGAGACAGACAGGGACAGAGAGAGACAGACAGGGAUAGAGAGAGACAGGGGUAGAGAGAGACAGGGGAUAGAGAGAGACGGGGAUAGAGAGAGAUAGGGGAUAGAGAGAGACAUAGGUAGAGAGAUACAGGGGUAGAGAGAGACAGGGGGUAGAGAGAGAUAGGGGAUAGAGAGAGACAUAGGUAGAGAGAUACAGGGGGUAGAGAGAGACAGGGGUAGAGAGAGACAGGGAGUAGAGAGAGACAGGGGAUAAAGAGAGACAGGAGGUAGAGAGAGACAGGGGAUAGAGACAGACAGGGGUAGAGAGAGACAGGGGUAGAGAGAGACAGGGAUAUAGAGAGACAGAGGUAGAGAGAGACAGAGGUAGAGAGAGACAGAGGUAGAGAGAGACAGAGGUAGAGAGAGGGGAUAGAGAGACAGGGAAUAGAGAGAGACAGGGGAUAGAGAGAGACGGGUAGAGAGAGACAGGGGAUAGAGAGAGACGGGGGUAGAGAGAGACAGGGAAUAGAGAGAGAGACGGGGUAGAGAGAGACAGGGGGUAGAGAGAGACAGGGGUAGAGAGAGACAGGGGUAGAGAGAGACAGGGGUAGAGAGAGACAGGGGUAGAGAGAGACAGGGAGCAGUUAUCCUCUCUAUUUCCUCUGCACCAGCUUUGCGGUUUCUGUGUGGAACAGAUGUUCACAACUUGAUACAGUGCACCAUGCCCCUCUCCUUGCUAUCUUCAGUCCCAGCACUACCAACUGUCUGCACACACACAUUCUCCCUCUCUCUCUCUUGCAUGCCAAUGUGGACACAAUUGCUUGCCUGAAUACAUGUGGAUGUAUUCAGGUGAAAACAGCGUAAAUUGAGAACUUUCUACUGCUGCCCAAUUGACUUUCUCUCCUGUUCCUGCAUCCUGCUCUUUAGUAAACAUUUCACUUUAACGAGGUGCUAUUUCCUGAUCCUUUAGCAGGGAGGGUGACCAGCCACCACUGACCUCAGGGUCUCC
rnacentral:lncRNA from 1 species